rnacentral:rRNA from 1 species
UACGUAGGGGGCAAGCGUUGUCCGGAAUCAUUGGGCGUAAAGCGCGUGUAGGCGGUUCGGUAAGUCGGCUGUGAAAGUCCAGGGCUCAACCCUGGGAUGCCGGUCGAUACUGCCGGACUAGAGUUCGGAAGAGGCGAGUGGAAUUCCCCGGUGUAGCGGUGAAAUGCGCAGAUAUCGGGAGGAACACCAAUGGCGAAGGCAGCUCGCUGGGACGUUACUGACGCUGAGACGCGAAAGCGGUGGGGAGCAAACAGG